CAGGAAAGGUUUGGACAGGGUUGGAGGGGUUCAAUAUCAGGACCUGUCAUUGUACAAUACAAUGCAACCGACAUCAUGUAGGUGUUUACAGGCCUCAGGUGUAGGUGCAAAAUAUGUCAAGAUGAUCUUCUUGUCCUGCAGUGAGUAUACACAUCUUUGUCACCUCGUCCCUACCCACCAAGACAAGACAAGACCAGUCAAAACCGAACAGAACAGGGUGAGGGUCCACACCAUACGUCUCCAGCUCCUGGGCCUUCUGCAGGAAGUUCAGCUCGGACUCUUCUGGAGUCUGUCCUCUGGGAGAUGAGGACACAACAGACAGAUUACUGUGGGCUGUGUGGUGAUGGAUGGAAAAGGUUCCAGCGGUAAGCUAAUGAUUUCUAAAGUGAAUUUCCUUUCAUUCAUUUCAGUGAGUGAAAGAUGAGAGAGACCAACACUAGAGGGCAGCAGAGGUAAGAUCCCAUAGGUGGUCUACAGUAGUAGAGUCUGUAUAUAUGGAUACUGCAUAUACUGUGAAGGGGGAGGGGAGAGAGAGAGAGAGAGCCUCUUGAGGGUGAUGUGAUGUUCAGCUGACUGGCAGAGUUGUCCCAGGAUGCCACAAACUAAUGACACAGCAGUACAGUACUGAGAAAUACACACGCACACUCUUAAGGUCACUGCUGUCCCUUCAUCCACUAUCCAUAAGCAGGAAGAGUUGGACAAAUAGCAGCUAGGAAAAUAUUGUAUAUUCAGCAUAUGAUGUGGAUAUGAAAUUGCAUAUCUACGGCUAAGCUAGGGUCAUGCAUAAUGUAUCUCAUAAAUAUAUCUAUUUUCAUCAUGGCUGUAACAUUCUAUCUAGGAGAGAUAGGAUGAUCUUGUAUCAAGUUAGGUCCACAAUCAUCAUGCUGAUGAUGACACUAUAUUCAAUUAUCAUAAUCACCUGGUAUAUAUAUAUAUAUAUAUAAAUGUGUGAGUGUGUGAGUGAGUGUGAGUGAGUGAGUGAG